UCCUGGUUAAACCAGGCGGUCCCCUUAGAGUUCCCAGCUUUACCUGAUGGCAACUAAGGGCGAGGGUUGCGCUCGUUGCGGGACUUAACCCAACAUCUCACGACACGAGCUGACGACAACCAUGCAGCACCUGUGUAGGGUGUUCCUUGCGGAAGGUUCCAUAUUUCUACGGAAUUUCACCCCCAUGUCAAAUCUAGGUAAGGUUCUUCGCGUUGCAUCGAAUUAAAGCACAUGCUCCACCGCUUGUGCGGGCCCCCGUCAAUUCCUUUGAGUUUCACCCUUGCGGGCGUACUUCCCAGGCGGGACACUUAAUGCGUUAGCUUCGUCACUGAAGGAUUGACUCUUCCAGCAACUAGUGUCCAUCGUUUACGGCUAGGACUAC
rnacentral:misc_RNA from 1 species